rnacentral:rRNA from 1 species
UACGUAGGGUGCGAGCGUUAAUCGGAAUUACUGGGCGUAAAGCGUGCGCAGGCGGUUAGUUGUGUCGGUGGUGAAAUCCCCGGGCUUAACCUGGGAAUGGCCAUGGAAACUGGCGAACUGGAGUCCGGUAGGGGAGCGUGGAAUUCCUGGUGUAGCGGUGAAAUGCGCAGAUAUCAGGAGGAACACCAGCGGCGAAGGCGGCUCUCUGGGACGUGACUGACGCUGAGACGCGAAAGCGUGGGGAGCAAACAGG